rnacentral:rRNA from 1 species
GACGAACGCUGGCGGCGUGCCUAAUACAUGCAAGUUGAGCGCUGAAGGUUGGUACUUGUACCAACUGGAUGAGCAGCGAACGGGUGAGUAACGCGUGGGGAAUCUGCCUUUGAGCGGGGGACAACAUUUGGAAACGAAUGCUAAUACCGCAUAAAAACUUUAAACACAAGUUUUAAGUUUGAAAGAUGCAAUUGCAUCACUCAAAGAUGAUCCCGCGUUGUAUUAGCUAGUUGGUGAGGUAAAGGCUCACCAAGGCGAUGAUACAUAGCCGACCUGAGAGGGUGAUUGGCCACAUUGGGACUGAGACACGGCCCAAACUCCUACGGGAGGCAGCAGUAGGGAAACUUCGGCAAUAGACGAAAGGCUGACCGAGCAAAGCCGCGGGAGGGAAGAAGGUUUUCGGAUCGUAAAAAUCUGUUGGUAGAGAAGAACGUUGGUGAGAGUGGAAAGCGCAUCAAGUGACGGUAACUACCCAGAAAGGGACGGCUAACUACGUG